rnacentral:rRNA from 1 species
GAUGAACGCUGGCGGCGUGCCUAAUACAUGCAAGUCGAGCGAACGGACGAGAAGCUUGCUUUUCUGAUGUUAGCGGCGGACGGGUGAGUAACACGUGGAUAACCUACCUAUAAGACUGGGAUAACUUCGGGAAACCGGAGCUAAUACCGGAUAAUAUUUUGAACCGCAUGGUUCAAAAUUGAAAGACGGUCUUGCUGUCACUUAUAGAUGGAUCCGCGCUGCAUUAGCUAGUUGGUAAGGUAACGGCUUACCAAGGCAACGAUGCAUAGCCGACCUGAGAGGGGGAUCGGCCACCCGGGAACUGGGACACGGUCCGAAUUCCUACGGGAGGAAGCAGUAGGGAAUCUUCCGCAAGGGGCGAAAGCCUGACGGAGCAACGCCGCGGGAGGGAUGAAGGUCUUCGGAUCGUAAGACUCUGUUAUUAGGGAAGAACAUAGGUGUAAGUAACUGUGCACAUCGUGACGGUACCUAAUCAGAAAGCCACGGCUAACUACGUG